UGGGGAAUUUUGGACAAUGGGGGAAACCCUGAUCCAGCCAUCCCGCGUGUGCGAUGAAGGCCUUCGGGUUGUAAAGCACUUUUGGCAGGAAAGAAACGUCAUGGGUUAAUACCCCGUGAAACUGACGGUACCUGCAGAAUAAGCACCGGCUAACUACGUGCCAGCAGCCGCGGUAAUACGUAGGGUGCAAGCGUUAAUCGGAAUUACUGGGCGUAAAGCGUGCGCAGGCGGUUCGGAAAGAAAGAUGUGAAAUCCCAGAGCCCAACUUUGGAACUGCAUUUUUAACUACCGGGCUAGAGUGUGUCAGAGCGAGGUGGAAUUCCGCGUGUAACAGUGAAAUGCGUAGAUAUGCGGAGGAACACCGAUGGCGAAGGCAGCCUCCUGGGAUAACACUGACGCUCAUGCACGAAAGCGUGGGGAGCAAACAGG
rnacentral:rRNA from 1 species